rnacentral:lncRNA from 1 species
CUCUUAGGUCAGAGUAUAUGAUGAAGAUGGGAUUGAGCGGCCUGGCUCAACUCUCAUAUUUGUCUAUCUAUGAGUAGCAGAUGUUUGCCCUAGGGCAUGGGUGCGAGAAGAUCCAAAAGCUUUCAAAGUUAGGUGGAGGCUGAAUAUCAAGUCGAGAUGGAGAUUGUUGGGAUUUGAUGCCUCAAAUUCGACUACAGUAAGAGAGAAGUCUAGAUGCAGAGAAACCC